rnacentral:lncRNA from 1 species
AUGGGACAUUAUGAAUUAGAAUCAUGGGAAGAGAGUGAGUGUGAGUAUAGAGGUGUACCGUUGACAGGGGCCAUAAAUAAUGAGGAGGUAGGUCAAACAGGAAUACACACGAGGAGUAAGGGGCCCGUUUUAGGAAGGCCGCAGUUCCAGGCCCCUCUGAUACAGAAAAGAGGAGGACAGGAACCAGUAUAUGUUCCAUUUGCUAUCACAGACAUUAAUUGUUUAGUGGAUAAGAUGCCCCCACCCGCAGAGGGAGGUGGCAAGUGGAUGUCUACCCUUUUCAGUUUAACACAGAGCAUGCAGUUGGCGAUGGGAGACUUUAGAGGAAUUUUAGGUAGACAAGUGUCUCUCUGGGAUUUGGAUAAAGUUGAGGUAGCAGCAGGCAUUAAAGACAGACCUAAUGCUGCACGUUUUGGGUCUUGUGCAACCAGGGUUGGUGAAGCUAUGAGACAGAUAUUUCCGAUAUCUCCAGGAGCAAUGCAGAACUUAAGAUUUAAGUGGGAGGAAAGUGAGUCGGCACAUUGGUUCCUUAUGAGGUGUAAAGAGGAAUGGAUGUGUGCCACAGGGUGCCAUCCUGGCUCAGAUAAUUUACACACCACUUUGUUCCGUCAGGCCAUAAUUUUAGGACUUCCACAGUUAGUGAAAGAAGCCAUGGAAGGAAAUCCUGACCUUCCAGGCAGUACAACAGAUGUCAGAGAGAGACAUCUCUCUCACCACAUCAACACAUUUAAAGCUAAACAACAGGGAAAGAAAGAGGGGGUGAUUACAGCGCAGGAACAGCUCUUAAAAAUGCAGUUAGAUGAGGCACGGAAAAAGCUUAAUGAUAAACGAAAGGAAGAAACAGAUGGAUCAGCAGUUUCCUCGGCAGUUGCAGCCAGAUCCGUUAGGUCCGCAGCAAAAUUUUGUUCCGAUAAACCCGUAUUGGGUCAGUCCAAGUGGAGGCAUGUGUGGGAGACGCGGCGGGCAGAGAUAUGGCUUGAUAGGCGGGUACUUAGGCCGAGAUCAGUGUCAUGCCUGCAAAGGGUAUGGUCAUUGGCAAAGGGACUGUCCAUAUCACAACUACCCGGAGGUACUAGGCAGUGUUCCACCAUCUCAUGGAAUUUAUCAGAAUUUAUCGGAGCUGAUUUUAUCUGA